CAGAUCACCUCAAAAUCCAGAGUACCACUGCUGUUAUGAAAACAGAUGUUGUUGGGAGAGAGAACAAAGAGACAGGCCCUACAAAUGUGACAGGACACGAGCAGGAAGGAGCUCCAGACUAGGUGCUUGUCAAAUCUAGGGCCCUCUCAUGUGGAAGACACUGAGGUUCAUUUUGCAUCUCUGGGUCGGCAGAACUGGAGGGAAAGAUUGAGGGUACAGGGAGACCUGCAUCACGUCAUCUAUUCCGCUGUGGUCACUGCUAGACCAGCAUUCCAGGGUUUGAAGAGAAUAACUCAUUGAUUAACCAUACAGUUCGUAUUUGACUAGUGUUGCACAGGUGACAUCUUCCUGGGCCAAUCCUUGCACUCCCUGAGCAGUGGGGCGGGCCAUACCAGUGUGCUUCAGACUGCCGUAUUGCAGACCCACUUCCUGUGAAAAACAUAUCCAUCAUAAUUAGAGAUGAAAUAUUACCAUCAUGCCAUCCAAACCUCUCGGGCGUACAUUUACAGUUAGAUAAUGUUUAGACCUAACUGUUAUGACUCAAUCAUUUACAGAAGUACUUUUACCUUGAGACUUGAAUUCCUGUUCACACAGGUGUUGCACAAACAUGUUGUUUUACCUGAAAGAGGGAACAAUUUAGUUUUGAAGGGACAAUCUGCAGUUCAAACGGUAAGAAAAAGGUAACCCCACCACUGCUUUGGUAAAUAGGUGAGCAAUGGGUCUUGAGAGAUGGAACCACUCUCAAAUUCAUAGGCAGAGCUACGGAUGCAAGGACUGACCAUCCAUGAGAUCAAAUUAUAGUUUUAAUUGUGUUUUGAGGACAUACAGUGUUUGUUACAAUUACAGUGUUUAUAAACAUUGGAGUUAAACAAUCUUAUAUUUGGAGUUUUGAUGGGGUAAGACAGUUGAACUAAGCUCAUGAGGCAUUUAUAUGUGAUAUUCUUCAAGCAUCAAUGGGUACAAAUUAUUAUUAUUCAUUUGAAAGUCAACAUAAUGCAUGAAUCAACUGCAGAUUUGCAAUAGACUAACUUUGGUUUUGGAGCAUAAUGUCUCUUUAAGUAAACUUGUCAAACUUCAGAUACGUUCAAAGUAUUAACUGUUUGAUUGUGUUUACAUUUACAAUUCAACCAUAACAAGAAUGGGGAUUACCAAGAUUUGUACAUUAUCUUUCUAUGUUUACAAUACACUGUCUUACUUGCUUUUCUUGUCACUGCAACAGAAAGUGAAUGUACAGUUAAAAUGACACUCCAAGGCAAGGUCUAUGUAUAGAAAGUACAAGAGCAGACACCGUUGUGCUGAUCACUCACGGGAAGGAUGUUUCUGCUCUCUGUGAAGUCAUUUUUCAUACAGAUUGAUACAUUUUCUGCCUUCUUGCUCUCACUAUGCCAAACGUAAAUCUCAUCUUGGAGGCCCUGUCUACUGUCUCGGGUUGCAAGGUGGAAUCAGCCACCACGGGAACAAUUUCGCUAACACCACAGGACUUUGUCAAUGUGGUCGCACUAAAGGAGUUGGAAUACCCACGUUUGUAGACAUUUUCUUCACCACGUGCCUUAGCUUUACCAGAUGCUUUUCCACUCCACAAACCACUGUGUCUGUGAACGUGAAUGAGUUCCUUGAUUCUAGGUAUGACUACGACUUUACAAAUGUUAAGGAUUGGGAAACAAUGUUUACUUGGGGGAAAGGAGCUGUAUGCCAGACACUGUGGCUGGAACCGCAUUGCCCUGAAGGUUUUUAACAAAUACAGGGAUGGAGAUGGAUGGUUGGGGACCGGAGACGAGGCUUGGCCAGUGUCCUUCUACAGACCUGCUAUGGACGGAUCCCAGGGCAUCAUCAGGAAUGAUGGAGCUGGUGCUACUUUAGGAAGAGGAGUCUACUCAACACCGGACAUUAACAUAGCUGAGUAGUUCUCUAAGAGAUUCACGUCCAAAGUAGAUAACAAAACCUACAAGGUGGUGCUACAGAAUAGGAUCAACCCCCAGGAAAGGAGAGUUACUGACCGGUCUAUGUGCCUGAGGAAUCAUCUCCGGUUCAAGAGAACUAUUGUGGAAAACUCCACCUGUCCUUAUGGUCUGCUGCUUAAGGAAGUGUUGUAAUCCAUUAAGACAGUGUUUGAAAGAUAAGUAAAUAGGUUGAUCAGAAAAUGAAGAGAUGUAUCAUCAGAUCAAUUUAACUAGGCAGUCAGUUAAGAACAAAUUCUUAUUUUCAAUGACGACCUAGGAACAGUGGGUUAACUGCCUUUACAGAUUUUUACCUUGUCAGCUCAGGGAUUAAG
ensembl:lncRNA